UCAGGCAGCAGCAAUAUAGGAAAGUGCUGAAAGGCAUCAUCAUCUCAUCCUGCAUGGGAGGAGGCCAUGGCAAACCCCUCCUGUAUUCUACCAAAGACAACCACAGGGCUCUGUGGUCGCCAGGAGUCGACACUGACUCGAUGGCAUAAUCUUUCCUUUUCUUUAAAAGCCAACAGGGAUGGGGCAGCUCGAAGCUCGGCGGGAAGCACGUCCCACAGACCCGGCACGAGAUGAGCUGGCAGCACCCUCAGAGGAAGGAACCUCCCCUGAAGAUCUUAAUAGAUGGCGGGGUUCAUCGCGAAGAAGGCGUUCUUCAUUCUGCUCACCGCACCUUAAGUGUAGAGCUGGAAAUGGUGCAGAGAUGGGCAGCCAGCAGAACUGGGGGCUGGAGAGACUCCUCUGUGAGGGGAGUCCACAGAGUUUGAGCCUUUUUCGUUUAGAAAGAAAGCAGGCCAGGUGUGUGUGUGUGUGUGUGUGUGUGUGUGUGUGUGUGUGUGUGUGUGAUAGAGGUCUAUAAAAUAAUGUAGGAUGUGGAGAGGGGGGGGGUUCUCCCCCUCUCAUAAUAAUAAAAACUGGGGCCAUCAGUUGAUGUGAAAUGCUGGGAGAUUCAGGGGAAAUUGAAUUUCUUUUUCCCCACAGUGGGUAGUUAAACUGUAGAAUUCACUGCCCCUGGAUGUGGGGAUGGUCACCAAUCUAGAAGGGGUUGCAAAGGGGUUAGACAAGUUAACAGAGGACAGGGCUAUCGAUGGCUAGGCUAGCCUGGAUACCUGUAGAUUUCCUAGGUGCUAUAAAUGUCCUCUUUCCUCCCAUUUACGAAUACAACAAAUAUUUAUAUACUGCUUGGGGAACCACGUUCCCCAAGCGGUUUGCAUAGCUAUAAAUAAAUAAAAUGGUUCCCUGUCCCCAAAGGGCUCACAAUCAAAAAAAGAAACAUAAGUUGGACACCAGCAACAGCCACUGGAGGGAUGCUGUGCUGGGGAUGGAGAGGGCCAGCUGCUCUCCCCCUGCGAAAGAUAAGAGAAUUGCCACUCUAAAAAGGUGCCCCUUUGCUCACUUUGCUCAGGGGCAUUUGCAGGAUUCCCACAUGCAAUGGUGGGCCACUGCAUGAAGCAGGACGCUGGACUAGAUGGGCCUGAUCCAGUAGGGCUUGUCCUUCUGUCCUUAUGAGUUCCUCACCCCUUCCCUGCUUGCCAUGGUUCUGCUUCUCACCCCCACACACCCCAUGGCUGCUAUUUACAAUGAAAGUCAUACACAGGGGGAAACCUUUAUUCCCAUGGAUAUUUUUGUGCACACCAGCACCACGCAUUUAAAGAGAUCUCCAACCAAAAGAUGUGUGGUUUUCUGAGGCAGAUCUGAAUCGUUGCUGGGCAUAGCAGGAACCUUAUUACCUGCAACAAGAUUAACAGAAUGGAACAUCCCUUGUGCUUUCAGUCCCCACCUCUUCUCAUGGAUUGGACCAUAAUAAUCCCAACUGCAGCAGGAGUGGAAAUGCAUGGCUAUCAUAUAUAUCUCCCCUCUAGACAUCGGUACCAGCCAACCAUGCCGUGGAAGGGAGAAACCAGCACCAGUUUAGUCCCUACGUUGGGACUGGCGUGGGGUCUCCUAGCAGGAGUAAUAAUCUUUCAGACAAUUGCCACUGAAGAAGACUCUGUCUAGUCACAACACACUGGGCGGAAGGAGCAGACUGGCCAGAUACUGGCAAAACUGUGACCUGACACUUCAUCUUUCAAUCAAAGCAGGCUAUUGUGACCACAGGGGGAAUAUUUGCCUACUACACACCUCCCUUGCAUUGACAACAUGACAUUUUUGAAAGGAACUAUCGGAUUUCAUCUUUCCAGAGACCAUUUCAAUGAGAUCAAAUUUUAUUGUGAUAUACAGAGGUAUUUUAUUGAUCUGGAUUUAAUGUAGUCCAGAUAGUUUUCAACCAUACAGUGUUAUUUUAAAUCAUACAGUAUUAAUACCAUACAGUGUAAUAUUUUAAUACAGUAAUAUUAAAAUAUUAGCAUAUGGUAUUUGGAUUCUUUCCUGAUGCUCUCAACUAGCUACCACCAGUGAUCAUCCGAGGACCUCCAGCCUUCCUAGGACACAGAUUCCAGGAAUCUCUAGAUACCUCUGUCGUUUCCCCGGAAGUGGCAUCCUGCCUCUUCUGGGUCAGAUGGCACUUGCCAUAAAGUAUCAGGUCUGUACCUGCGGGAACCUUUGCAUCCUGCCUUCCAGAUGGAUGCCCGACUCAAAGCACUUUCCUCCAACUGCAACCUUCCUGGAGUCAACCUUCCUCAACCUUCCUGGAGACACGCAGGCUUGCCACGGUUCUCCACCUCCAAAUAAUGUUCAGAUUAAAUGAAUGCAAUGCUUUGUAAGCAAAGCUGCCUAUGGAUUCUGUGGCUGUUCCCAGACGGAGACCGCUUUUGUGUUUACUGUCAUGGGCAGUUCUUACGAGCCAAAAGAAAUUCAACUAAAAUUACACAUUAUCAUAGCGAAGCUGAUUUGUUAUCCUCACAACUGAUUCAAAGGGGAUAUCCGAAAGAGGUAGUACAUAGAACUAAGAUCAGAGCAGAUAUCACUAGAUGGAGUGAGUUACUCCAGGAUGCCCCUAGUGACUGUUUGAUUUGGUCCAUGGUUUUGGAUAUACCUGGUUGUAACACACACACACACACACGCACACCAUGGUGGCCUUUAGAAAAACUAGGAGCUUGAGAAAUUUGCUGACUCGUUCGGACUUUUCAGUAAGAUCGCCAGUGAGAAAUGCUACACAACGUUUUUAUCCCUGUGGGAGCUGUGCAGCCUGUUCUUUUAGCCUCCCUACGACUGAAUAUUGGGAGCCCAGUAAUAAAAAACAUGUUCGUUUAAAAAAAAAUUGCGAACUGCAAAACGAAAGGUACUGUUUAUGUGAUAGUUUGUCUGUGCAACUUGUGGUAUAUUGGGAGCAGUAUGAGAGCCAUUAAGACCCGUGUUCUCGAACACAGAUCCAGGUUGAAGAACAGAAUAUUGGAUGUCCCAUUAGUGCCACAUUUUGUUGAAAAAUCCCACUCACCUGAUGAUUUGAAGUUUUUGUAUUGUUCAAAUUUAUAUCAAGGUCCUUUGACAAACAGGACACACAUUGGAUUCUCCUUCAAAAAAAGACUUACUUUAUUCAUAAGUUCAAGACAUGUAUACCUAAUGGGUUAAAUGUAAACUGUGAUUUCUCCUGUUUCCUUUAAGGGGGGGAUGAAGAUCAGUACAGUUCGUUAAUUAUUUCCGCCUGACCAUGUGACUGGUUGAUUUAUUUGGGGAGUAUUUACUCCAAGGCUGAGUGUAGUUCGUUAAGGAGAUUAGCAUGUUUUAAGCAGGCACUUGUGAUGGUGCUGCUCCAAGAAACAAGGCUAUUCCAGAUAUAAGGGUUCAGGAUGAUUGAUUAUAUCUUACCCAUGAGGAUUCACUUCAAGCAAACUGGCACCACUGAUAUCACAUCUGCUAUUGGGCACCAUGAGCAUCUCAGUAACUUUUGUCAAGAAUGACAUCUUUGAGUCUGUGGAGUCUUCACUAGCCCACACUGUUUGUAUUUACUUGCUUUGGUAUUAUGGAUGCCUGUUGCAGUUUGUGAUUACACUUGGAGUAUUGUUGUACCCUG